AGAUCCACCGUGCUGCCCUGGGUAUGAUGGUGACAUUAAAACCCCACCACAAUGAUUUAGGAGGACAAACGGAGUCCCAUAGAUCCAGGCUACUUUUGAGGUGCUUGCCUCUGGGAACCAGAAAUAAGUUCCCUUGGAAAGGCAGCUAUGAGAUGAAUGAUUGACCCCUGCACCAACAGAAACAGAUAGCGCCCAUCCAUUCCCAGGAGACUCCUAAACUCAAUGCACUAAGUGAAGUGGAAACGUGGGUACUAGGAUCCCGACCAGAGAGGGUCACUGAGUUCAACUUGUGAUAAUAGCACCAUUGAGAGAAACUUGCCCAAGAACUGCUCUCGAGGUGCCUACGGCAGCCUGCUGCUUCUGCAGUCUUGCUUCAGGCCUGUUGGCAAGCUUGGAGGUUUCUUCAGGAUUUAGUUACUGUUGCUGGUUUGUGCCUGGUGUCGCUUGCUGAAAAGACUGAACUGUAGCUGCUGGUUCAUGUGUGGUGUCUGCCUGCCUGGAGGACUGCUCUGCAGCUGCUAAGUCGUAUUUAGUGUUUGCUUACAGGACUGAACUGCUGCCAAAGAAGAUUCAAGCUCACCCCCAAAGAACUAUUGCUGAAGAAGUUCGUUUCCCCCAUAUCCUAAUAACUUCUCUUCCACUACCUCUGCUAGGUGGUAGGCUAGAGGAGAGGUUGAACCCUUAAUAAAAGUAGGUUGCAAAAAA
rnacentral:lncRNA from 1 species